rnacentral:rRNA from 1 species
AGCGAACGCUGGCGGCAGGCCUAACACAUGCAAGUCGAACGGACCCUUCGGGGUUAGUGGCGGACGGGUGAGUAACACGUGGGAACGUGCCUUUAGGUUCGGAAUAGCUCCUGGAAACGGGUGGUAAUGCCGAAUGUGCCCUUCGGGGGAAAGAUUUAUCGCCUUUAGAGCGGCCCGCGUCUGAUUAGCUAGUUGGUGGUGUAACGGACCACCAAGGCGACGAUCAGUAGCUGGUCUGAGAGGAUGAUCAGCCACAUUGGGACUGAGACACGGGCCAAGCUCCUACGAGAGGCAGAAGUUGGGAAUCUUGCGCACAGCGCGAGAGCUGUACGCAGGCAUGCCGGGGGGAUGAUGAAGGUCGUAUGAGUGUGAAAUGCUUUCAGCGGGUGCGUUGAUGGCGGUACCCGGAGAAGAAGCCGCGGCUAACUACGUGCCAGCCGCCGCGGUAAAAC